AUUGAACGCUGGCGGCAGGCCUAACACAUGCAAGUCGAACGGUAACAGGAUAGCUUGCUAUCGCUGACGAGUGGCGGACGGGUGAGUAAUGCUUGGGAACAUGCCUUUGUGAGGGGGAUAACCGUUGGAAACGACGGCUAAUACCGCAUAAUGUCUCCGGACCAAAAUGGGCUUUUAGCUCAUGCACAAAGAGUGGCCCAAGUGAGAUUAGCUAGUUGGUGAGGUAAAGGCUCACCAAGGCGACGAUCUCUAGCUGUUCUGAGAGGAAGAUCAGCCACACGGGGACUGAGACACGGCCCAGACUCCUACGGGAGGCAGCAGUGGGGAAUAUUGCACAAUGGGGGAAACCCUGAUGCAGCCAUGCCGCGUGUGUGAAGAAGGCCUUCGGGUUGUAAAGCACUUUCAGACGUGAGGAAAGGGUGAUGGUUAAUACCCAUCAUCUGUGACGUUAGCGUCAGAAGAAGCACCGGCUAACUCCG
rnacentral:rRNA from 1 species